rnacentral:rRNA from 1 species
CACGUGGGGAACCUGCCCCAUAGUCUGGGAUACCACUUGGAAACAGGUGCUAAUACCGGAUAAGAAAGCAGAUCGCAUGAUCAGCUUUUAAAAGGCGGCGUAAGCUGUCGCUAUGGGAUGGCCCCGCGGUGCAUUAGUUAGUUGGUAAGGUAAAGGCUUACCAAGGCGAUGAUGCAUAGCCGAGUUGAGAGACUGAUCGGCCACAUUGGGACUGAGACACGGCCCAAACUCCUACGGGAGGCAGCAGAC